GACGAACGCUGGCGGCGUGCUUAACACAUGCAAGUCGAACGGAAAGGCCCUGCUUUUGUGGGGUGCUCGAGUGGCGAACGGGUGAGUAACACGUGAGUAACCUGCCCUUGACUUUGGGGUAACUUCAGGAAACUGGGGCUAAUACCGGAUAGGAGCUCCUGCUGCAUGGUGGGGGUUGGAAAGUUUCGGCGGUUGGGGAUGGACUCGCGGCUUAUCAGCUUGUUGGUGGGGUAGUGGCUUACCAAGGCUUUGACGGGUAGCCGGCGUGAGAGGGUGACCGGCCACAUUGGGACUGAGAUACGGCCCAGACUCCUACGGGAGGCAGCAGUGGGGAAUAUUGCACAAUGGGCGGAAGCCUGAUGCAGCAACGCCGCGUGCGGGAUGACGGCCUUCGGGUUGUAAACCGCUUUCGCCUGUGACGAAGCGUGAGUGACGGUAAUGGGUAAAGAAGCACCGGCUAACUACGUG
rnacentral:rRNA from 1 species